rnacentral:sRNA from 1 species
GUAUCUAUCUUAAGUUUUGAAGUUAAUGAUGUAUUGUGCAACUCUAAAAUGUUUGUUAACAUUUACUUGUAUUCAUCUACACGUGUUCGACAAAAUAUAUUCACACUCUCAAAAGAUUGUAAAAGACUUCAUAUUCUAGCAACGAAAUCAUGCUGGUCGGUUACUAGCUGGGUCAGAAGUUUACGCCCUAUGGUAGUUCAAAAUCCGUAAUAUAAAUUUAUAUUAAAUCUUCUUCUCUUCUCCCAUAUAUUUUUGAGAAAAAACUGAAUACAUGGUCAUGAAGUUUUCUACCGGGUUUGUGAAAUCCAUGAUACCUUGGUCAGGGAUGCAGGCCCUGGUGCAAGACAAAUACUGCUGAAUAGUCCAAAUGCACCGAUAUAAGUAUGUUUUCUUUCUUAACUUUUACAGUUAUGGAUGAUAAAGUCAUGCAUUGUUAUUACGUUCCUAAUAAACUGAAGUUUGUUAUUAGUCCCCUACCUGUUUUACCGGAGGGGACUAUAGCUUUCCUCUGCGUCCGUCUGUCUGUUCCACACCUUUUUGCUUGCUUAUGCAAUACUUUCAGAAUACCUGUUUACUAUAUAAUAUUUCUAUGUUUAAUAUCUAAACAUUACAGCAUGUCUUCGUUUACAUCGGCACUAAUUUUUUUCGACAUUACAGGGCAUAAACAUUAUAUAAUUUUGGUUGUUGUUGUUUUUUUUUUUUUAUAAAAGUGUCCUGUAAAAAUGCUUUAUUUAAACGAAGUAAAAUGUAUAUUAGAAUGACAGCACGCCCUAGCCUCGAUUUACAUACUACAAUAGUAAACCGAAUAUAUACUUAACACUUUGUGUAACCUGUACCUUGAAAUUAUUGAGUUUUUUGUUUUAAUUUUUCUAUAGUUGUAUUUGUUCACUGUAUAUGGAUCAGUUAUGAUUUGUGAUUGUUUCAUGCAGUGUUUUUAAAUAAAUGACUUAAAAUGUAUUUAUGCAA